UAAUACAACUUUCAACAAUGGAUCUCUUGGCUCUCGCAUCGAUGAAGAACGCAGCGAAACGCGAUAAGUAAUGUGAAUUGCAGAAUUCAGUGAAUCAUCGAAUCUUUGAACGCACCUUGCGCUCCUUGGUAUUCCGAGGAGCAUGCCUGUUUGAGUGUCA
rnacentral:rRNA from 1 species